AGUCGAACGAUGAUCUCCUGCUUGCUGGGGGGAUUAGUGGCGAACGGGUGAGUAACACGUGAGUAACCUGCCCUUGACUCUGGGAUAAGCCUGGGAAACUGGGUCUAAUACCGGAUACGACCGCUCCACGCAUGUGGUGGUGGUGGAAAGCUUUUGCGGUUUUGGAUGGACUCGCGGCCUAUCAGCUUGUUGGUGGGGUAAUGGCCUACCAAGGCGACGACGGGUAGCCGGCCUGAGAGGGUGACCGGCCACACUGGGACUGAGACACGGCCCAGACUCCUACGGGAGGCAGCAGUGGGGAAUAUUGCACAAUGGGCGAAAGCCUGAUGCAGCGACGCCGCGUGAGGGAUGACGGCCUUCGGGUUGUAAACCUCUUUCAGUAGGGAAGAAGCGAAAGUGACGGUACCUGCAGAAGAAGCGCCGGCUAACUACGUGCCAGCAGCCGCGGUAAUACGUAGGGCGCAAGCGUUAUCCGGAAUUAUUGGGCGUAAAGAGCUCGUAGGCGGUUUGUCGCGUCUGCUGUGAAAGACCGGGGCUCAACUCCGGUUCUGCAGUGGGUACGGGCAGACUAGAGUGAUGUAGGGGAGACUGGAAUUCCUGGUGUAGCGGUGAAAUGCGCAGAUAUCAGGAGGAACACCGAUGGCGAAGGCAGGUCUCUGGGCAUUAACUGACGCUGAGGAGCGAAAGCAUGGGGAGCGAACAGGAUUAGAUACCCUGGUAGUCCAUGCCGUAAACGUUGGGCACUAGGUGUGGGGGACAUUCCACGUUUUCCGCGCCGUAGCUAACGCAUUAAGUGCCCCGCCUGGGGAGUACGGCCGCAAGGCUAAAACUCAAAGGAAUUGACGGGGGCCCGCACAAGCGGCGGAGCAUGCGGAUUAAUUCGAUGCAACGCGAAGAACCUUACCAAGGCUUGACAUGAACCGGUAACGCCUGGAAACAGGUGCCCCGCUUGCGGUCGGUUUACAGGUGGUGCAUGGUUGUCGUCAGCUCGUGUCGUGAGAUGUUGGGUUAAGUCCCGCAACGAGCGCAACCCUCGUUCUAUGUUGCCAGCGCGUUAUGGCGGGGACUCAUAGGAGACUGCCGGGGUCAACUCGGAGGAAGGUGGGGACGACGUCAAAUCAUCAUGCCCCUUAUGUCUUGGGCUUCACGCAUGCUACAAUGGCCGGUACAAAGGGUUGCGAUACUGUGAGGUGGAGCUAAUCCCAAAAAGCCGGUCUCAGUUCGGAUUGGGGUCUGCAACUCGACCCCAUGAAGUCGGAGUCGCUAGUAAUCGCAGAUCAGCAA
rnacentral:rRNA from 1 species